rnacentral:rRNA from 1 species
CAGUAGCCACGGUAAUACGAAGGGUGCAAGCGUUACUCGGAAUUACUGGGCGUAAAGCGUGCGUAGGUGGUGGUUUAAGUCCGUUGUGAAAGCCCUGGGCUCAACCUGGGAAUUGCAGUGGAUACUGGAUCACUAGAGUGUGGUAGAGGAUAGUGGAAUUUCCGGUGUAGCAGUGAAAUGCGUAGAGAUCGGAAGGAACAUCUGUGGCGAAGGCGACUAUCUGGGCCAACACUGACACUGAGGCACGAAAGCGUGGGGAGCAAACAGGAUUAGAUACCCGCGUAGUCCCUGUCUCUUAUAC